rnacentral:rRNA from 1 species
CCCUUAGGUGUCCUGGGCUGCACACGUGCUACACUGGCAGGUUCAGCGAGCUUCAUGCCCUGAUCUGAAAGGAAUGGGAAAUCUUUUCAAAACCUGCCGUGCUUGGGAUAGAUGUUUGCAAUUAUUCAUCUUCAACGAGGAUUGCCUUGUAAGCGCACGUCAUCAGCGUGCAUUGAAUACGACCCUGUAUUCUGUACACACCGCCCGUCGCUCCUACCGAUUGAAGUUUUCGGUGAGUUGACAGGAGGAUUUUUUUGAAACUGGUUCGCCAGUGGAUUUUAGAUCCAAAUGCCAACGAAUCGAUGGCUUUAGAGGAAGGAGAAGUCGUAACA